rnacentral:misc_RNA from 1 species
UGUUGUAUCCACAACGUGCACAACCUGAGAACCAUGUUUGGAAUUUCUCAACAUAUAAAUGACAAAUUACUUGGGUGCUUGAAUUCACUGUUGUGAAGAAAUGUCCAACACAUAACAAAGUGAUCAAAACAUCACCCCCUCCCAAAAAAAGAAAAAAAAGAAGCAUGAAGAUUUUGCAAGCCAAAGGAUUUACAGGCCUAAAUAAUUUUCCUUGUUUUUUCAUACAAUCAGAUGCGUGCAACCCAAUCUCAUGUAUUACAAAUCAGUGCUCUAACUCGAGUUCUUCCCAGGCAGAGCAGUGGCUAGUUCACAUGAGAUAAUGAAUUCAGUACAGCAUAACAUUUUGAAGUACAAUUAAAUGACCACAUACUUCCUCAAACAAACAUAAUCCAUAUGCCUUGGAUGCAGUACCAGGCAACUCACCCAUGAUGAAUUUAUGGACUCAAUUAAUAUUUCCUUAAUUUGGUAUCACUGAGGAUGUAAAUAAGAAUCCACAAGUUUUAUAUUCAACCCUACAUGUCACAAAGGCACAAACUAUCUUAUGUUCACUAACCCUAUAUGUAGCAAAGGCACAAACUAUCUUAUGAUCACUAACUGUUUGGAGGAAGAUUUUGGAUCCAUGACCCAUGCCACACAAAACUUAUCCAACAAACACACCAACUUGAAUCUAGUAUAUAGUUCAGCUGGUAAAUCAUGGAUUAAAUAGCAGAGUCAAUAAAAAUGGGAAAACUUACAGUUACUAAUCAUAAUUUACCAACACUUGGAAUCAUUCACAAAGAAAAAAUUUGAAUGAAUAUAAAGCCAAGGAAAACACAACUAUAGUUAAUAUGCAAAUGGAAACUUACAUUGACA